AACCAUAGAAACCUGCGGAGUACCUGCGGAAGGAUCAUUACUGAGUCACGUGCUCAAACAACCCUUCUGUGGACCUGAAAUAAAACCGUUGCCUCGGCGGGCGGUCCCCCCCAAGCUAACCCCACGUGGUGGGUUAGGGGAGACCAGACAGUCCGGUACGCUUAAAGGCGUCCGGCGCCAGCCGCUGGCCCCAAACAAUUAAACUCUAGUAACCUUUACCUUCUGAGUUUCAAUAUUUAA
rnacentral:misc_RNA from 1 species